AGCAGCCGCGGUAAUUCCAGCUCCAAUAGCGUAUAUUAAAGUUGUUGCAGUUAAAAAGCUCGUAGUUGAAUUUCGGGGUUAGUAGGUUGGUCAUGCCUCUGGUAUGUACUGGUCUCACUGAUUCCUCCUUCCUGAUGAGCCGUAAUGCCAUUAAUUUGGUGUUGCGGGGAAUUUGGACUGUUACUUUGAAAAAUUAGAGUGUUUAAAGCAAGCUAACGCUUGAAUACAUUAGCAUGGAAUAAUGAAAUAGGACGUUCGAUCCUAUUUUGUUGGUUUCUAGGAUUGACGUAAUGAUUAAUAGGGAUAGUUGGGGGCAUUAGUAUUCAAUUGUCAGAGGUGAAAUUCUUGGAUUUAUUGAAGACUAACUACUGCGAAAGCAUUUGCCAAGGAUGUUUUCAUUAAUCAAGAACGAAAGUUAGGGGAUCGAAGACGAUCAGAUACCGUCGUAGUCUUAACCAUAAAC
rnacentral:rRNA from 1 species